CGCGUAGACGGUUCUGUAAGUCAGAUGUGAAAUCCCUGGGCUCAACCUGGGAACUGCAUUUGAUACUGCAUGGCUAGAGUAUGGAAGAGGGAAGUGGAAUUUCCGGUGUAGCGGUGAAAUGCGUAGAUAUCGAAAGGAACACCAGUGGCGAAAGCGACUUCCUGGUCCAAUACUGACGUUCAUGUGCGAAAGCGUGGGGAGCAAACAGGAUUGGAUACCCUGGUAGUCCACGCCAUAAACGAUGACAACUAGAUGUUGGGAGGGUCUGCCUCUCGGUGUCGCAGCUAACGCGUUAAGUUGUCCGCCUGGGGAGUACGGCCGCAAGGUUGAA
rnacentral:rRNA from 1 species